AUCCAAUAGGAAGGCCUUUACCCUGCUAUGGAAUUUGCUGUGCUUUUUAGAGGAUAAUCAUUAAUGGGUUUUCAUAGCAACAGAUCUCCCAAACUGCCCCAGUCCCUCUCCAAACAGUGCUGUCAAGCCUCUCAAGCAGUACACAUUCCUCGGUUUGAUAUUAGAGCCAAUAUCCUUAUAGCACAGGUGUCUAAGAAUGCACACGGACUUUGAAUGGCACUAAAGACUUAGGAGCAGACCCAAGAACACGAGAGACAGAUAUGGUUGAGGGGCAACAUUUUCCAGCUGCUUUUCAGGUACUGCCAGCCAGCUGCAUCUUGUCUUGUCCUGGCAUUGCUGCCACCCAGCUUGUUUCCUGUUAGAGCUAACUUUCUUUGGGAUAUAGAGCAUAUUAACUACAGAGAUCUUAAAACACAGCUUCCACCCAUAGCAUGUGGGAACAAAACCAAACCUCAGCUUCUGUUUUUGCACAGUGACGACUCUGACUCCCUUCAUCUGAAAAAUCCCUUCAGGAAAAUGAAGCAUUAAUCCUGUACUUCUAUGGCAGACUCUAACUCUCUUCCCUCAUAGCAGGAAGCCUUGUUAGGAUCAAUCUGAGUCACAGCUGCUCUGAAUUCCAAAGGGUGAGAUCUGUUGGGCUGUUGUAAAUUACUCUCUUCACAGAGGGCAAGAGGCUGUAAGUGGCACAGGUGUGCCACCACUUAACCACCCUCACCACAGGCUGCGGCUCUUGGGAGAGCUGGCUAGCAAUGUAGUCAAGGGAAAAAAUAAAAGGAGGAAGACUUCUCUUUGCUAAGGGCACAUCAGCAAGCCUUGCAAGUGCCAGAGUUUUUGUAUCUCGCCAAGGAGUACAGCAGGCAAGCAUUCCCUUUGAAUGAAAUGUCUACUGCCUGAGCAAUCUGAGUGCAAACCGGAGCCUAAGUCCUUCUCCUUUGCUCCCUCAUACUGAAGGAGGUGCUGCUGGGAGCUGGUGCUGCACAAGCAAGUUCUGAGCAUGUUUGCUGUUCUUCCUGUGAGUUGCAGCCCGUGUGGCCCAUAGCGAGUUAAACCUCUGAAUCUCUACUGUGCUGCACCACUCCAUGUCUGCCUGUCCUUCAGGUCAAAGGCUUUUGUCCUGCUGUGGGAGGAGGCUAAACACUGCGGGCAGUACUGGCAGUAUCCCUAGCUUGCUCUUACAGAUUUCCGUAACCACCAGGAAUGCUGGAUGCCAGGGAGGAUGCAGAACCCAAGGAAAUCAAAAGGAGCCAUGAGUGUACUCUACAGGGCAAUGGCAGUAUUUGCCAGCUAUGGCUGCAAUACGUAUACACGGAAAGGAGAAAGUACAUGAAGUUCUACUUAAGGUUUUCCUAUGAGCUUCUACGGUUUUCUCUGGGAGCAUCACGAAGAGUUAGGCAACUCCAGAUUGAAAGACCCUGGCCUCAAGGGCUGAAGAAUAGAGCUACAUUGUAACAUCCUGAUACUUGCUGACAAUUUUCUCCCUUAAUAAAACGUUGCCGCUGUCCUCUCCAUUUAUAGCAUCAAAGAGAACCCUUCUAACCUCCUAAAUCCUGUUUUAGUGUCGUAGGCUACAGAUUAUUAGCCAAAGCACAACUGCAUUUGAUGUAGUUAUAUCAGGAAGAAACAUAAGUAACAUUUAUAAUGCAGAAAUACUUAAAAAAAUUUAUUAAAAUUUAUUAAAAUAUGUUUAAAAUUAAAAUUUAAAGCAUUUAAACUUCUGUGUGAGCUCCGAGGCAGCUCUGUCUUUGUGUAUUACUGAAUACGAAAUGCUGAGAGGAAUUGAUGUGGCGGUCUCCUUUUUCUCUAGUUACCCUCCUGCAGCACAGCGCAGCCCGCUGCCCCUACAGGACAGCCUGCUUCAUGACGUUGUCCCUCAAGAUCUCAUUCCACUGUUAAUUUUUUUGUUGUUGUUGUUAGAAUAAAACACCUUGAAGUCCUGCUCUGACUUACUGCCUUCCUGACUUUGCCCUGCAACUCCGAGUAACACCCUGCGUGUGUACUUCACGUCAAAGUAAACUCGAGUUAAAAACACGCUAUUUGCGAAGUCAUUUAAGGACGGAUGAGAUCGGUGUUGCCCUCGCACUACUUACUGCAAUGUUUCUGACUGCAAAUUGCCCCAGAGCAGCUCUCUGGGCAGCAUGCUUUCUGCCACCUCAGGCGCUGCCGUCACCCCGCAGGCGUAAAGCUGCCGUACGCGCCCGUGAGACACC
ensembl:lncRNA